rnacentral:rRNA from 1 species
GAUGAACGCUGGCGGCGUGCCUAAUACAUGCAAGUCGAGCGAACGGACGAGAAGCUUGCUUCUCUGAUGUUAGCGGCGGACGGGUGAGUAACACGUGGAUAACCUACCUAUAAGACUGGGAUAACUUCGGGAAACCGGAGCUAAUACCGGAUGAUAUUUUGAACCGCAUGGUUCAAAAGUGAAAGACGGUCUUGCUGUCACUUAUAGAUGGAUCCGCGCUGCAUUAGCUAGUUGGUAAGGUAACGGCUUACCAAGGCAACGAUGCAUAGCCGACCUGAGAGGGUGAUCGGCCACACUGGAACUGGGACACGGUCCAGACUCCUACGGGAGGCAGCAGUAGGGAAUCUUCCGCAAUGGGCGAAAGCCUGACGGAGCAACGCCGCGUGAGUGAUGAAGGUCUUCGGAUCGUAAAACUCUGUUAUUAGGGAAGAACAUAUGUGUAAGUAACUGUGCACAUCUUGACGGUACCUAAUCAGAAAGCAACGGCUAACUACGUG